CGUGGAGACAGGUGGUGCAUGGCUGUCGUCAGCUCGUGUCGUGAGAUGUUGGGUUAAGUCCCGCAACGAGCGCAACCCUCACCCCUUGUUGCCAUCAGGUCACGCUGGGCACUCUAGGGGAACUGCCCCGGUCAACGGGGAGGAAGGUGGGGACGACGUCAAGUCAUCAUGCCCCUUACGCCCUGGGCUACACACGUGCUACAAUGGCCGGUACAAAGGGAUGCAAGACCGUGAGGUGGAGCUAAACCCAAAAAGCCGGUCUAAGUUCAGAUUGGAGUCUGCAACUCGACUCCAUGAAGGAGGAAUCGCUAGUAAUCGCGCAUCAGCACGGCGCGGUGAAUACGUUCCCGGGCCUUGUACACACCGCCCGUCACACCAUGAAAGCCAGCUGUACUCGAAGUCGCUGAG
rnacentral:rRNA from 1 species